rnacentral:rRNA from 1 species
UUCGCAAUGCCCGAAAGGGUGACGAAGCGACGCCGCGUGUGGGAAGAAGGCCUUCGGGUUGUAAACCACUGUCGGGAGUUAAGAAAUGCAAGGAUAUUAAUAGUGUCUUUGUUUGACUAAGGCUCCGGAGGAAGCCACGGCUAACUCUGUGCCAGCAGCCGCGGUAAUACAGAGGCGGCAAGCGCUGUUCGGAAUUAUUGGGCGUAAAGAGCACGUAGGCGGCUAUGUAAGUCGGUUGUGAAAGCCUUCCGCUCAACGGAAGAACAGCAUCCGAUACUACAUGGCUUGAGUGCGGGAGGGGAGAGUGGAACUUCUGGUGGAGCGGUGAAAUGCGUAGAUAUCAGAAGGAACGCCGGCGGCGAAAGCGGCUCUCUGGCCCAUAACUGACGCUGAGUGUGCGAAAGCUAGGGGAGCAAACGGGAUUAGAUACCCCGGUAGUCCUAGCCGUAAACGAUGGGCACUAAGUAGAGGGGUUUU